rnacentral:snoRNA from 1 species
GUUGCUUCUUUUUGAUAAUGGGGUAACUGAUUUUUGUUGUUGGUUACUCUUAAUGGGAAGCAUAGAGUAAUAGGAAUUGGCCAGUUUUAAACAGCAUGAUGCUGUUGUUUAUCUAUUGCAUUGUGUUACCUGUCUGCUGGUAUAUUU